GGCAUUUGUGAUGAUAUCCCAUGCGUGUCAUCUGAUGCUCAUGAGCUCUCUGAGUCAAGUCAGUGCCUCCUGUGUUUUGCAGGCUGCAGCAGGCUGUCUCAGAAGAACCUGAGAAAUGAUCUCACCAUUUUGUCUGAAAACC